UAUGAUCCUCAAUAAACCAGGCCUCUUCAGAUGGUUCAUCUCCUUGCUGUGGACUGCAGGUCUGACAGGCGGCAGCGACGUCGUCCAGACCUCGAUGCUCUGGAAGGUCGAGGGUGUCGAUGCAACGAUGGACUGCAGCCACACCAAGGGGGCUGCGUUCUUCCAGAUGUACUGGUACCGACAGCUGCCGGGAGAAACCAUGAAGCAGAUCGUGUACACGUCCACCUCCAGCACGGAUCACGAUUUUGGAGAUUUCAGCAAAGACAAAUUUUCCGCCACCAAGCCGAAUGUCACCAGCGGGACGCUGACGGUGAAGAAGCUGCAGCCGGGAGACAAAGGCUGGUACUUCUGUGCUGUGAGUGAACACAGUGACGCAGGGAACCUCAACGGCUGAACAAAAACACCCCCGGUGCUUCUCACGAGCUGUAGAGGGACCUCGAGGAACAGUAAUGCUCCACGUGGUGCGAUGGGGAGGACUGAACAUGUGACACACCCCCAUCCCCCCACCUGCAGCUGGUUAGAUCUCAAACCACACUGACAGUCGUAUCAGACCUCCUGCAGUCUCUGAAUGACUGAAAACGGACGCCAUCAUAACGCGGCCUCCUGAGCCUUAAAAUUAAUUUAGUUUCUUUUGACAAAAUGUUCAUCCAAACCGUUUGAAAAGAAAAUAAAUCUUCUUUUACAACGUAUGUUUUCAUCAUUUA